rnacentral:rRNA from 1 species
GUGAAUGCUUUGGGGUGGGGUGACUGCGUACCUUUUGUAUAAUGGGUCAGCGACUUAUAUUCUGUAGCAAGGUUAACCGAAUAGGGGAGCCGGAGGGAAACCGAGUCUUAAUUGGGCGUUAAGUUGCAGGGUAUAGACCCGAAACCCGGUGAUCUAGCCAUGGGCAGGUUGAAGGUUGGGUAACACUAACUGGAGGACCGAACCGACUAAUGUUGAAAAAUUAGCGGAUGACCUGUGGCUGGGGGUGAAAGGCCAAUCAAACCGGGAGAUAGCUGGUUCUCCCCGAAAGCUAUUUAGGUAGCGCCUCGUGAAUUCAUCUCCGGGGGUAGAGCACUGUUUCGGCUAGGGGGCCAUCCCGGCUUACCAACCCGAUGCAAACUGCGAAUACCGGAGAAUGUUAUCACGGGAGACACACGGCGGGUGCUAACGUCCGUCGUGAAGAGGGAAACAACCCAGACCGCCAGCUAAGGUCCCAAAGUCAUGGUUAAGUGGGAAACGAUGUGGGAAGGCCCAGACAGCCAGGAUGUUGGCUUAGAAGCAGCCAUCAUUUAAAGAAAGCGUAAUAGCUCACUGGUCGAGUCGGCCUGCGCGGAAGAUGUAACGGGGCUAAACCAUGCACCGAAGCUGCGGCAGCGAACGUAUCACCCAAGACAACUUUACGGAGUUGACGAUUGACGGAGCGAAGCGACGUCAAAGCGUUCAUUAAAGUCGAGUUGGCUUAGGGAUACGUUCGUUGGGUAGGGGAGCGUUCUGUAAGCCUGUGAAGGUGUGUCGUGAGGCAUGCUGGAGGUAUCAGAAGUGCGAAUGCUGACAUAAGUAACGAUAAAGCGGGUGAAAAGCCCGCUCGCCGGAAGACCAAGGGUUCCUGUCCAACGUUAAUCGGGGCAGGGUGAGUCGACCCCUAAGGCGAGGCCGAAAGGCGUAGUCGAUGGGAAACGGGUUAAUAUUCCCGUACUUGGUGUUACUGCGAAGGGGGGACGGAGAAGGCUAUGUUGGCCGGGCGACGGUUGUCCCGGUUUAAGCGUGUAGGUGUGUGUUCCAGGUAAAUCCGGUUCACUUUAACACUGAGGCGUGACGACGAGGCACUACGGUGCUGAAGCAACAAAUGCCCUGCUUCCAGGAAAAGCCUCUAAGCAUCAGGUAACAUCAAAUCGUACCCCAAACCGACACAGGUGGUCAGGUAGAGAAUACCAAGGCGCUUGAGAGAACUCGGGUGAAGGAACUAGGCAAAAUGGUGCCGUAACUUCGGGAGAAGGCACGCUGACACGUAGGUGAAGUGAUUUACUCAUGGAGCUGAAGUCAGUCGAAGAUACCAGCUGGCUGCAACUGUUUAUUAAAAACACAGCACUGUGCAAACACGAAAGUGGACGUAUACGGUGUGACGCCUGCCCGGUGCCGGAAGGUUAAUUGAUGGGGUCAGCGCAAGCGAAGCUCCUGAUCGAAGCCCCGGUAAACGGCGGCCGUAACUAUAACGGUCCUAAGGUAGCGAAAUUCCUUGUCGGGUAAGUUCCGACCUGCACGAAUGGCGUAAUGAUGGCCAGGCUGUCUCCACCCGAGACUCAGUGAAAUUGAACUCGCUGUGAAGAUGCAGUGUACCCGCGGCAAGACGGAAAGACCCCGUGAACCUUUACUAUAGCUUGACACUGAACAUUGAGCCUUGAUGUGUAGGAUAGGUGGGAGGCUUUGAAGUGUGGACGCCAGUCUGCAUGGAGCCGACCUUGAAAUACCACCCUUUAAUGUUUGAUGUUCUAACGUGGACCCGUAAUCCGGGUUGCGGACAGUGUCUGGUGGGUAGUUUGACUGGGGCGGUCUCCUCCUAAAGAGUAACGGAGGAGCACGAAGGUUGGCUAAUCCUGGUCGGACAUCAGGAGGUUAGUGCAAUGGCAUAAGCCAGCUUGACUGCGAGCGUGACGGCGCGAGCAGGUGCGAAAGCAGGUCAUAGUGAUCCGGUGGUUCUGAAUGGAAGGGCCAUCGCUCAACGGAUAAAAGGUACUCCGGGGAUAACAGGCUGAUACCGCCCAAGAGUUCAUAUCGACGGCGGUGUUUGGCACCUCGAUGUCGGCUCAUCACAUCCUGGGGCUGAAGUAGGUCCCAAGGGUAUGGCUGUUCGCCAUUUAAAGUGGUACGCGAGCUGGGUUUAGAACGUCGUGAGACAGUUCGGUCCCUAUCUGCCGUGGGCGCUGGAGAACUGAGGGGGGCUGCUCCUAGUACGAGAGGACCGGAGUGGACGCAUCACUGGUGUUCGGGUUGUCAUGCCAAUGGCACUGCCCGGUAGCUAAAUGCGGAAGAGAUAAGUGCUGAAAGCAUCUAAGCACGAAACUUGCCCCGA